GCAAGGUUGCGACAGAAACACAACUAAAAUGAAGACCUUCUUGCUUGCUGUAGUUUUCUGUGCUUUUUUGGCUGUAAUAUCAGGUCAAAACUUAUUAAGAGGUCUUUUAGGUCUAGGUAUAGCAAGUCAUCUCUUCAGAGGUUUUACUAAUUCAUUUUCAGGAGGAGGUGGUAAUUCAUACGAUUGGGGUAGCGGACGAGGACAAAAUGCCUACAUAAUUCAACCAACGAGUGACCAAUACUAUGCACAAGAUUAUGGUUAUGAUCGUGGAUAUUUGUGGUAACAUCAUCCAGCUAGUAAAUAGUCAGUUGAGAGCUUCAGAAGUCAUAUCAAAUCAUCACAAGAAUAAAACAUUUGUAUGAUUUGUCUUUCAUUUAUCACAGAAACAUUCACAUCAAGGCCUUAUGAAAUAAAAUCAAUAGCUUCUA